rnacentral:rRNA from 1 species
ACCGCCUAGGGUAAAAUCGGUAAUUGGGGCUAAGUCGUAACAAGGUAGCCGUAUCGGAAGGUGCGGCUGGAAUACCUCCUUUUUAGAGCUCAUU